GAUGAAGAACGCAGCGAAAUGCGAUAAGUAAUGUGAAUUGCAGAAUUCAGUGAAUCAUCGAAUCUUUGAACGCACAUUGCGCCCGCCAGUAUUCUGGCGGGCAGGCCUGUUCGAGCGUCAUUACAACCCUCAGGCCCCCGGGCCUGGCGUUGGGGAUCGGCGGAAGCCCCCUGCGGGCACAACGCCGUCCCCCAAAUACAGUGGCGGUCCCGCCGCAGCUUCCAUUGCGUAGUAGCUAACACCUCGCAACUGGAGAGCGGCGCGGCCACGCCGUAAAACACCCAACUUCUGAAUGUUGACCUCGAAUCAGGUAGGAAUACCCGCUGAACUUAAGCAUAUCAAUAAGCGGAGGA
rnacentral:misc_RNA from 1 species